GCCGACUGAACUGCCCUUUCAUCCCUCAUGUUGAGCCAUGUGUCAACACCAUGUGACAACACCAUGGCUCAAUAUUGCUGCCCAUUUGUAUUGAAUUUUUCCUUUCUCAAGGUGACAAACCAAUCCACUAAUCGAAAAAAAAAAA